AUACGAAGGGGGCUAGCGUUGUACGGAAUUACUGGGCGUAAAGCGCGCGUAGGCGGAUUGGUCAGUUAGGGGUGAAAUCCCAGGGCUUAACCCUGGAACUGCCUCUAAUACUGCCAGUCUUGAGUUCGGGAGAGGUGAGUGGAAUUCCUAGUGUAGAGGUGAAAUUCGUAGAUAUUAGGAAGAACACCAGUGGCGAAGGCGGCUCACUGGCCCGAUACUGACGCUGAGGCGCGAAAGCGUGGGGAGCAAACAGGAUUAGAAACCCUAGUAGUCC
rnacentral:rRNA from 1 species